AUCCUCCUGCACCCUUUCUUUGGAGAAACAGGCAAGCUUGAAACUGUCUUCCUGCAAAAACAAUGAAGAUAUGCAAAAUUUUGGCAAGUUGAAGUUUCCUGGGCCAAAAUACUCGAACAAACUUGAUUAUUCCCCUGUGAAAUGGACAGAUUGGAAAAGAACUUCUGAGGAAUAACUCAGUCGUAAGCCUGUUGAUACGGAGGCACUUCCCCAAGACUCACCUCAUCUGAAUUUGUCAUUUAAGGAGCAGUCUGUGGGGCAGAGGAGCAUCCCGCAGUUUCAGACGUGAGCUGCAGAUGGCAGGAUUGAACUGCGGACUCGUUUCAACACCAGAACUCAUUUGCUCUCCCAGCCAGCAAAGCAGCUACUUUCAAGCAAGAGACCAAGAAAAGAAAAAAAAAGAGAAAAGCCAGAAGGACAAGAUGACAGGGGAGGAAGGGAUACAUCAGCUGAAAUUUGGAUAGGAUCAUUUUGAUAAGCAGCCUGCCCACGGCAAAGAAUUGGAUCACAAACUUCGUUUAGGGGGAAAAAAAAUCACCGCAGAAGAAAGGACCCAGGCCUGAUAGAAGCAGCUCCCAAGCCUUGGAGCCAGCUCUGCAACCAGACCUGGGACUAAACGAAAGAGGCCAAGUAUUCUUGCUCACCAUCUCACCACAGGCCUGGGGCAGAGGUGGGUUUUACAGACCAGAGACUCCCAGGACAGAGCUGGGGAGUCCCAGAAAUAAGUUACCUGGGGAAGAAACGGUUGGGCCAGCCUUUUUCACCCAAGGUGGCCGUGUCCAAAUGUUUUACAUUUCUGUAUCACUUGCCUUGGCCAAGAGGUCCCAGCUUCUGCCCGUGUUGGUUUCUGGCAGCUCCCUUCUGGCACUCGUCACACCUCCGAGGGCAAUUUGGAUCCACUUGCUGGCACCCCCACGGGCUGUGAGCAUCGGAGCAGGACCCAUCCCUGUGGAGACAGACACCCAACACAGACACCCAACACCUGUCACUCCAGGGGCAUCAUCUGGCUCGUCCUCUUAACUCAACAAGUAAUAAGUAGUAGUAGCAAUAUCAACAUCAACACCAGUAACAACAGCAAUGUUUCCCUUCCAAAUGCAGAAUAAUCCCCAUGAUGAAGGGACAUGUCUUUAAUGAGGAAAGGCUGAGGGACUUAGGUGUUUUUAGUCUGGAGAAGACUGAGGGGGGAUCUGACCAAUGCUUAGCCCCAAAAGGGUGGGUGUCAGGAGGAUGGGGCCAGUCUUUUUUCAGUGGUGCCCAGUGACAGGACACGAGGUAACAGGCACAAACUGGAACACGGGAAGUUCCAUCUAAACAUGAGGAGGAACUUCUUUUUUAUGAGAGGGUGACUAGAUGAUCUCCAGAGGUCUCUUCCAACCCCAUAUCAUUCUGUCAUUCUGUCAUUCUGUGAUACGUUCUAUUUAUAAGAAAAAAAUAAAAAUGAAGAUAUCAAACA
rnacentral:lncRNA from 1 species